AUCCAACUGACGAGUCCCAAAUAGGACGAAACGCGCGUCAAAAUGGAU
rnacentral:hammerhead_ribozyme from 1 species